rnacentral:sRNA from 1 species
GCCUGGCAUGGUGGCGCAUGCCUGUAAUCCCCAUGGCUUGGGAGGCUGAGACAGUAGUAUCGGAGUUCAAAGCCAGCCUCAGUAAAAGUGAGGCGCUAAGCAAUUUGGUGAGACCCUGUCUCUA